AUGAAGUGCAGUACAUGCAUAAAUGAAGAACGACAAGGGCCCCAACACACACACUUGCUACACGAAGUGCAGUACUCAACGCUGGUGCAAGCAGUACAAAUGACAUCAUUUUUGUUUUUCCAUCAAAGGGGACGCGCGCAAAACCCCCGGAGCCACACCCCUAAGAUAGACAGGGGGGCGACGGGGUAUGACGGACUCGCCUACGCAUGCGGCGCCGCGGCAAGCCACGUCGCCGCCUGCUCCAGCUCGUUCCAGGCUCGGCCUCGCAGGGGGAUGUGGAGGGGGGGUCACGACCCCCCCUCCCCACCCCCUGCUCGGCCUCGCGCUAACGCAUGCAGUGCACUUGGUUGA
rnacentral:rRNA from 1 species